rnacentral:lncRNA from 1 species
UCAAAUACAAACGAAAGUGCUACAGUGUCGAUUUUGCAAAAAAUUUUGAAACUAAACAAGGCCUUGAAUGGUCUGUUGCUAAACAUGCCCCUCGGUUCCUAUGUGCUAAAAUUUAAUAUUUCGAUGGAUAGUCCAUUGCUAUAAGUAUUUUACUUUUGCGUUGGAUCAUCUAUCGCUAUUUUGCACUAACUGAGUUGGAUCAUCCGUUGCUAAAUACUAGUGUCCACUUUUGGCGC